rnacentral:rRNA from 1 species
UACGUAGGGGGCGAGCGUUGUCCGGAUUUAUUGGGCGUAAAGAGCGUGUAGGCGGCCAGGUAGGUCUGCUGUGAAAACUCGAGGCUCAACCUCGAGACGUCGGCGGAAACCAUCUGGCUAGAGUCCGGAAGAGGAAAGUGGAAUUCCUGGUGUAGCGGUGAAAUGCGCAGAUAUCAGGAAGAACACCAAUGGCGAAAGCAGCUUUCUGGGACGGUACUGACGCUGAGACGCGAAAGCGUGGGGAGCGAACAGG